UACCAGCACCCCGAGUGGUCGGGACGAUUAUUGGGCCUAAAGCAUCCGUAGCCGGUCCUACAAGUCUUCCGUUAAAUCCACCUGCUUAACAGAUGGGCUGCGGAAGAUACUAUAGGGCUAGGAGGCGGGAGAGGCAAGCGGUACUCAGUGGGUAGGGGGUAAAAUCCUCUGAUCCAUUGAAGACCACCAGUGGCGAAGGCGGCUUGCCAGAACGCGCUCGGACGGUGAGGGAUGAAAGCUGGGGGAGCAAACCGG
rnacentral:rRNA from 1 species